rnacentral:tRNA from 1 species
AUGUGGCAGAAAUAAUGUAAUAAAUUUAAGAUUUAAAAAUGAAUAAAAUUUCCUUUAGAA